AUAGAUAUGGCUGUAGAUGGGUAGGAGAGGAGAGGGAUAGAUAUGGCUGUAGAUGGGUAGGAGAGGAGAGGGAUAGAUAUGGCUGUAGAUGGGUAGGAGAGGGAUAGAUAUGGCUGUAGAUGGUUAGGAGAGGGAUAGAUAUGGCUGUAGAUGGGUAGGGGAGGAGAGGGAUAGAUAUGGCUGUAGAUGGGUAGGGGAGGACAGGGAUAGAUAUGGCUGUAGAUGGGUAGGAGAGGGAUAGAUAUGGCUGUAGAUGGGUAGGAGAGGGAUAGAUAUGGCUGUAGAUGGGUAGGAGAGGGAUAGAUAUGGCUGUAGAUGGGUAGGGUAGGAGAGGGAUAGAUAUGGCUGUAGAUGGGUAAGGGAGGAGAGGGAUAGAUGUGGCUGUAGAUGGGUAGGAGAGGGAUAGAUAUGGCUGUAGAUGGGUAGGAGAGGGAUAGAUAUGGCUGUAGAUGGGUAGGGUAGGAGAGGGAUAGAUAUGGCUGUAGAUGGGUAGGAGAGGAGAGGGAUAGAUAUGGCUGUAGAUGGGUAGGAGAGGAGAGGGAUAGAUAUGGCUGUAGAUGGGUAGGAGAGGAGAGGGAUAGAUAUGGCUGUAGAUGGGUAGGAGAGGGAUAGAUAUGGCUGUAGAUGGGUAGGAGAGGAGAGGGAUAGAUAUGGCUGUAGAUGGGUAGGGGCGGAGAGGGAUAGAUAUGGCUGUAGAUGGGUAGGACAGGAGAGGGAUAGAUAUGGCUGUAGAUGGGUAGGGGAGCAGAGGGAUAGAUAUGGCUGUUGAUGGGUAUGAGAGGGAUAGAUAUGGCUGUAGAUGGGGGUGAGAGGGAUAGAUAUGAC
rnacentral:lncRNA from 1 species